UACGUAGGGUGCAAGCGUUAAUCGUAAUUACUGGGCGUAAAGCGUGCGCAGGCGGCUUUGCAAGACAGAUGUGAAAUCCCCGGGCUCAACCUGGGAACUGCAUUUGUGACUGUGAGGCUGGAGUACGGCAGAGGGGGAUGGAAUUCCGCGUGUAGCAGUGAAAUGCGUAGAUAUGCGGAGGAACACCGAUGGCGAAGGCAAUCCCCUGGGCCUGUACUGACGCUCAUGCACGAAAGCGUGGGGAGCAAACAGG
rnacentral:rRNA from 1 species